CCCCUGAGACCCCCGGCGGCCGCUUCCGGAAGAGCGGUCGGCGGCCAUGUUUGAUGGGGGGGGUCUUUCACGUGCACUUCCGGCUGCGGACCCCCAGAAAUCAGUUUAAGAACUGGACGAAGAAUGCCUGCCGUCCUUCUCAAAUGAGCCUUUGGACUGACAUUUUCUGUCUAAACACAGGAAUACAAAGAUACACCAACGAUGAGGACAAUCUUUAGCCCCCCCUUCUCUCCUCAAAGUCUGGCCUCCAGUCUACUUCCCAUUGUCCCUUCCUCAUCCUGGCUUGGGCCAAGACCCCGGCUUUUCUAAAGACUUCCACUAAGGGAAAAUUAUGAAUGACUGAAUGAAUGAAAAAGCACUUCUUAACUGCUUACAAGGUACAAAAGCUCCCUUCCAGUAUUUUGGUUUGGCUUAAACUAGGGUCCUGUAAGGGGUACAUGAGCUUGGAUGGGAAAUAUAGAUAGAUAGAUAGAUAGAUAGACAGACAGACAGACAGACAGGUAUCUUUAUUUUCCCCAAACUUUAACUGAAAAUAUGAAUUUCUUUUCAUUACAAAUAUAGGCACAAGCAUGAUUCUCAGAAGGGGUCUGUAGAUUUCAGCAAAUUGCCAAAGGGAGCCCAUGACACCCAGAAGGUUAAGGCCCCUGACUUAGUAGGUCCACAGAAUUUGUCGUGAGCUUUGGAAGCUCUGCAAAGGGGAUGCAGAAAGGGACACUGGCCCUCCAUGGUCCCUUCUUUUCUUCUACUGUGAGAGCAGCCCUCACUCCAGGAGAUCUGUCUGUCUGCCUGCUUCUCUUUGUUUACUGUUGAUCUAGGUUCCUAGCUCUAUCCACUGAGCAACCUCGCUGGCUCCGUGUGUGUGUGUGUGUGUGUGUGUGUGUGUGUGUGUGUGUGACACUCCUCAUCCUCCAAUGCCCACCCCCACCUGUGCCACCCCCUGCUCUCUUGGCAUCAGCAUGACUUCUUUCCCCUCACCCUUCACUAUCCUCUAACCUUCUCUUCCUCACCCCUCCAGGGUCCUGGGACCCUGAGUUCAAGUUACAUGGGAAUGGGGGGAGGGGGAAGGAAGAUAUCCAUCUGAGUUUGGGAGGAACUGAAGCUAUCCACACUUCCUUCAGGAAGCUGCUCUCUGCUCAGCCUGCCCACCCUGUGCUAGGAGAGUCAGCUAUAGGAAGGAAGUUCCUAGACCAUCCCAGACAUCCCUUAUCCCCUUGAUAA
rnacentral:lncRNA from 1 species